AGUAGGAUAACUGGAUCAAAUGGUGGUUCCAAGUUUUCUAAGGAAUCUCUAUACUGCUUUCCAUAGUGGUUGCACCAAUUUGCAGUCCUACCAGCAAU
rnacentral:pre_miRNA from 1 species